UACGUAGGGGGCGCGCGUUGUCCGGAGUUACUGGGCGUAAAGCGCACGCAGGCGGUCUGCUAAGUUUGGAGUGACAGUUGGUGGCUCAACCACCAAAGUGCUUCGAAAACUGACAGACUUGAGGGCUUCAGAGGGACACGGAAUUCCGGGUGGAGUGGUGAAAUGCGUAGAGAUCCGGAGGAACACCAAAGGCGAAGGCAGUGUCCUGGGGAGUACCUGACGCUCAGGUGCGAAAGCCAGGGGAGCGAACGGG
rnacentral:rRNA from 1 species